rnacentral:lncRNA from 1 species
GUGGAUUAUCUCUCCCCAUCUACACCACUACCGACGCGACAAAACACAACGCUUGCAAUACAGUUAGUAGAUUGUUGCGUCGCUUGCGUCUAGCUCUAGUGGGCGCACAUAGGUACUGCUGAGAGAGAGGAGGGAGGGUGUGAGAGAGAAAGAGAAAGAAGUGAAGGCAGCCGGGGAGCUCAGCACAGCCAGCAUGGCGAGCCAAAGGGACUUCACAUACAGAAAACCUUGGAUUAAUGUCCUUCUGCGACUCCUACAGCUGUUAUUGCCGUACAUUCAACACGGAGGAGCUCAGUUUCAAGCCCUGACUCGGAUGUCCAGUGUGGUUGAAGUUUGGCAGGCUGAGGACGCAGACUUCUUCAUUUCAUCGCAGGCAGAGGAGCAGCACAGUGAGAAUGUUCCUCGAGACGAGAGGUGAGAGUUUCUCUUAAAACCACAAUCCCUUUGAGACUUUCCUGGAAUAUUUGCAGU